AUUGAACGCUGGCGGCAUGCUUUACACAUGCAAGUCGAACGGCAGCGCGGGCUUCGGCCUGGCGGCGAGUGGCGAACGGGUGAGUAAUACAUCGGAACGUGCCCAGUAGUGGGGGAUAGCUCGGCGAAAGCCGGAUUAAUACCGCAUACGACCUGAGGGUGAAAGCGGGGGAUCUUCGGACCUCGCGCUAUUGUCGCGGCCGAUGGCAGAUUAGCUAGUUGGUGGGGUAAAGGCCUACCAAGGCGACGAUCUGUAGCUGGUCUGAGAGGACGACCAGCCACACUGGGACUGAGACACGGCCCAGACUCCUACGGGAGGCAGCAGUGGGGAAUUUUGGACAAUGGGCGAAAGCCUGAUCCAGCAAUGCCGCGUGUGUGAUGAAGGCCUUCGGGUUGUAAAGCACUUUUGGCGGGAAAGAAAAGGACUGUGCCAAUACCACGGUUCGAUGACGGUACCCGCAGAAUAAGCACCGGCUAACUACGUG
rnacentral:rRNA from 1 species